UACGUAGGGACCGAGCGUUGUCCGGAUUCAUUGGGCGUAAAGAGCUCGUAGGCGGCUGUUCAAGUCGAACGUGAAAACUCGGAGCUCAACUCCGAGCCUGCGUUCGAUACUGGACGGCUAGAGUCUGGUAGGGGGAUCUGGAAUUCCUGGUGUAGCGGUGAAAUGCGCAGAUAUCAGGAGGAACACCGGUGGCGAAGGCGGGUCUCUGGGCCGAUACUGACGCUGAGGAGCGAAAGCGUGGGGAGCAAACAGG
rnacentral:rRNA from 1 species